rnacentral:rRNA from 1 species
GAGGAAGUAAAAGUCGUAACAAGGUCUCCGUUGGUGAACCAGCGGAGGGAUCAUU